rnacentral:misc_RNA from 1 species
AGCAUAUUAACCUAUAGUUGUGCUUAGGUACAAGAAUUUGCUCUUUACAAAACUAUGGGAAAUUUAUAGUCUAGUGUCUAGGUUUUACCUUUAAUCAUUAUUUAGUCCUGUAUUUUCAUGUCAACUCUCUCAAAAGAAAAGCUUUAGACAGAAUAAGUGAAGUUCUCAAACCAUCUCUUGAUUUUCAGUUGUCUAGCAUGGCAAAACUUGGAUUUUUUUAACCCAUCCAUGAAUUUUACUUCGUGUUUCACUUAUAUCCCUUAAUUUUAAUUUAUUACUAAAA